UGGGGAAUAUUGCACAAUGGGCGCAAGCCUGAUGCAGCCAUGCCGCGUGUGUGAAGAAGGCCUUCGGGUUGUAAAGCACUUUCAGCGAGGAGGAAGGUGGUGAGCUUAAUACGCUCAUCAAUUGACGUUACUCGCAGAAGAAGCACCGGCUAACUCCGUGCCAGCAGCCGCGGUAAUACGGAGGGUGCAAGCGUUAAUCGGAAUUACUGGGCGUAAAGCGCACGCAGGCGGUUUGUUAAGUCAGAUGUGAAAUCCCCGGGCUCAACCUGGGAACUGCAUUUGAAACUGGCAAGCUAGAGUCUCGUAGAGGGGGGUAGAAUUCCAGGUGUAGCGGUGAAAUGCGUAGAGAUCUGGAGGAAUACCGGUGGCGAAGGCGGCCCCCCUGGACGAAGACUGACGCUCAGGUGCGAAAAGCGUGGGGCAGCAAACAGGAUUAGAUACCCUGGUAGUCCACGCUGUAAACGAUGUCGAUUUUGGAGGUUGUGCCCCUUGAGGCGUGGNUUCCGGAGCUAACGCGUUAAAUCGACCGCCUGGGGAGUACGGCCGCAAGGUUAAAACUUAAAGGAAUUGC
rnacentral:rRNA from 1 species